rnacentral:rRNA from 1 species
CGAACGCUGGCGGCAGGCUUAACACAUGCAAGUCGAGCGGGCAUCCUUGUGGUGUCAGCGGCAGACGGGUGAGUAACGCGUGGGAACGUGCCCUUCGGUUCGGAAUAACUCAGGGAAACUUGAGCUAAUACCGGAUACGUGCGAGAGCAGAAAGGUUUAUCUGCCGAAGGAUCGGCCCGCGUCUGAUUAGCUAGUUGGUGAGGUUAUGGCUCACCAAGGCGACGAUCAGUAGCUGGUCUGAGAGGAUGAUCAGCCACACUGGGACUGAGACACGGCCCAGACUCCUACGGGAGGCAGCAGUGGGGAAUAUUGGACAAUGGGGGCAACCCUGAUCCAGCCAUGCCGCGUGAGUGAUGACGGCCUUAGGGUUGUAAAGCUCUUUUCUUCGGGACGAUAAUGACGGUACCGGAGGAAUAAGCCCCGGCUAACUUCGUG